rnacentral:lncRNA from 1 species
AUGGCAAGUAGAUUUCAUAGAAUGGAGUCACACCCCAUUCUCGCAGAUUCAGCAGCUCUGGACCCCAGAUUCAAGGAGAUGGUGUUUACAGAGGCCAGAGCAACAGAUGAAGCCUUCCAAAGAUUAUCCACUGAUGCAGCACGAAUUACUCUUGACACUGACCAAAGUCAGACCAUCCAAGGGGAGGGAGGACGAUGCAUACAAGAAUCUGCUGUCUGGAGCUACUUUAAUGAACAAGUGGCUGGAGCUGUGGCAAGCAGAAACCCAACAGCUGACGCCAUUAUGGGGGUGCGGGCUUUCAUAGAGGAGCCACUUCUUCUAAAAAGUGGGGAUCCUCUAAAGUGGUGGCAGAGUCGGCCCUGGUACAUCCCAGACUUACCAGACUUGUGGUAAAGAAGCUGUGCAUUGUUGCAACUUCAGGGCCUUCGGAGAGAGUGUUCUCUAAGACAGGACAAAUAUUCUCUGAAAGGAGAAACCGCCUCAAGCCUGAAAAAGUGAGAGCACUUGUCUUCCUAAAUGCAAAUUUGCAAGAUUAGAAAUGUGAGAGAAGAAAGUUGAAACCCUCUUUGUUUUCAGUUGUUUUCUUUUUGCUAAGAUUGUUUCUUUUUGUUCAGUUGUAGCAACAUCCGGUGCAUACAUCUGUAGGCCAAAAGGUGCACAUUUUAUUUUUUUUUCUGUUUCUCAUUACGGCAUUCCUUUUCUUAUUACCACAUUUUAUUUCUACUUUGAAGAACAACUGUUUGAAGAUAUUUGUGCAUUGUGCAGCUUUCUAGUAUUUACAUAUAUUUUUGUUUAUGUUGCCGUAGUCACAUACAAUGUAACUUAGGCAACAUGAACAAAAAUGUAUGUACAUAUGUAUGUAUAUGUGUAUGUAUGUCAUACAUACAGCUUUUUACAAUGUUCAAAAGAUGUAAAACAUUAUUUAUAUUAUUUAUUUUUCUACAGUUCCUUAUCUUUAUAUACAGAGUAGAAGUGAGAGAACUGAUGUGGUAUCAUUUUGAUAUUUACAUUAGAGAUAUAAGGUAUUUGGCAAUGUUGAAGUAUUUUAUUUGCACUACAGUUUUGUAGGUAUUCAAGUACUGUAAUUGCAGUGAUUAAUCACUGUUGUGUUAUGUGCAAUUUUUUCCCGUUUGUUUACACACAUUUAUUGUUUUGAGGAGA